AAAGGAAUUGACGGGGGCCCGCACAAGCGGUGGAGCAUGUGGUUUAAUUCGAUGCAACGCGAAGAACCUUACCUACUCUUGACAUCCAGAGAAUUCGCUAGAGAUAGCUUAGUGCCUUCGGGAACUCUGAGACAGGUGCUGCAUGGCUGUCGUCAGCUCGUGUUGUGAAAUGUUGGGUUAAGUCCCGCAACGAGCGCAACCCUUAUCCUUUGUUGCCAGCGCGUAAUGGYGGGAACUCAAAGGAGACUGCCGGUGAUAAACCGGAGGAAGGUGGGGAUGACGUCAAGUCAUCAUGGCCCUUACGAGUAGGGCUACACACGUGCUACAAUGGCGUAUACAAAGAGAAGCGAACUCGCGAGAGCAAGCGGACCUCAUAAAGUACGUCGUAGUCCGGAUCGGAGUCUGCAACUCGACUCCGUGAAGUCGGAAUCGCUAGUAAUCGUAGAUCAGAAUGCUACGGUGAAUACGUUCCCGGGCCUUGUACACACCGCCCGUCACACCAUGGGAGUGGGUUGCAAAAGAAGUAGGUAGCUUAACCUUCGGGAGGGCGCUUACCACUUUGUGAUUCAUGACUGGGGUGAAGUCGUAACAAGGUAACCGUAGGGGAACCUGCGGCUGGAUCMACCUC
rnacentral:rRNA from 1 species